rnacentral:rRNA from 1 species
GCUCAGGAUGAACGCUAGCUACAGGCUUAACACAUGCAAGUCGAGGGGUAGCAGGGUAGCAAUACCGCUGACGACCGGCGCACGGGUGAGUAACACGUAUCCAACCUUCCCAUUACUCGGGGAUAGCCUUUCGAAAGAAAGAUUAAUACCCGAUAGUACAAUAGAUAGGCAUCUAUUUAUUGUUAAAGAUUUAUUGGUAAUGGAUGGGGAUGCGUUCCAUUAGAUUGUUGGUGAGGUAACGGCUCACCAAGUCUUCGAUGGAUAGGGGUU